AUGUCCAACAGGGAGACUCUGCUGUGUAUUACUGUCAGACGGACCAAGCUAUUUGUCACUGACCCUACAGUGACACUUGCAUCUCUGACGGUCUUCCCCCCGUCUCAUGAGGAGCUGAAGGGGGACAGUGUGAGGGUGGUGUGUGUGGCUGAGGACGUGUCCUCUGGCCUGGCUGAUGUCAGCUGGCUGCUCGGUGGGAACCCUCUGAGCAGUGACAUCAGCACCAGCUCUCCUGAGAAGCAGCCCAACGGCAGAUUCCGACUCAGCAGCAUCACGACCAUCCAGACGGACCUCUGGUCCAGUGGCAAAAACGUGACCUGUCAGGUGACCAGUUCCGGCUCCACAGCCUCCAAGACCAUCAGCCAAUCAGACUGCUCCAACUGAUGCAGCAGGGACGCCUAACUGUGCCGUCCCUAUGAGUGACAUUUUGAUAGCAUGUGUCAGAUGCAACAGUGGCUGCACUAGCUGUUAAUGUGUUAGCGCUAUCAGGGUGGUUUUCCAGAGCAUGACUCUUUUCUUGAGUUUUGUUUUCACAGUAGUGAUUCUUCUUUUAUACCUUUCUUUUAAAAAAAUAAUCUUUUUUAUACAUUAGAUUCUUUAGAUACGCUACUGUUUUACAUGUUAUAUAUAUAUCUUUUGGUUAGAACCUCUGAGUCUGAUCCUUUGA